UGUGCCAGCAGCCGCGGUAAUACGUAGGGGGCGAGCGUUGUCCGAAUUCACUGGGCGUAAAGCGCGCGUAGGCGGACUAUUAAGUUGAGGGUGAAAUUCCGAGGCUCAACCUCGGACCUGCCUUCAAAACUGGUAGUCUUGAGGUAUGGAGAGGGAAGUGGAAUUCCUGGUGUAGCGGUGAUAUGCGUAGAUAUCAGGAGGAACACCCGUGGCGAAGGCGGCUUCCUGGCCAUAUCCUGACGCUGAGGUGCGAAAGCUAGGGGAGCGAACGGGAUUAGAUACCCCGGUAGUCCUAGCCGUAAACGAUGGAUACUAGGUGUUAGUGGUAUCGACCCCACUAGUGCCGCAGCUAACGCAUUAAGUAUCCCGCCUGGGGAGUACGACCGCAAGGUUGAAACUCAAAGGAAUUGACGGGGGCCCGCACAAGCGGUGGAGCAUGUGGUUUAAUACGUCACUAACCGUAGAACCUUACCCAGGCUUGACAUCUGGGGAAUCCUGAUGAAAGUCGGGAGUGCCUUUCGGGGAACCCCAAGACAGGUGUUGCAUGGCUGUCGUCAGCUCGUGUCGUGAGAUGUUGGGUUAAGUCCCGCAACGAGCGCAACCCUCAUCCGAUGUUGCCAGCGUAAAGUCGGGAACUCUUCGGAAACUGCCCGUGUAAGCGGGAGGAAGGUGGGGAUGACGUCAAGUCAGCAUGGCCCUUACGCCUGGGGCUACACACAUGCUACAAUGGAUGUGAACAAAGGGCAGCAAUACCGCGAGGUGGAGCUAAUCUCAAAAAUACAUCCUCAGUUCGGAUUGUAGUCUGCAACUCGACUACAUGAAGUCGGAAUCGCUAGUAACCGCAGGUCAGCUAAACUGCGGUGAAUACGUUCCCGGGCCUUGUACACACCGCCCGUCACGCCACCUGAAUUGUCUGCACCCGAAGUCGAUGGCCUAACCCGCAAGGGAAGGAGUCGCCGAAGGUGUGGGGAGUGAGGGGGACGA
rnacentral:rRNA from 1 species